rnacentral:pre_miRNA from 1 species
UAACUACUCCCUCUGUCCCAAAAUUCUUGUCUUAGAUUUGUCUAGAUACGGAUGUACCUAAUACUAAAACAUGACUUGAUACAUCCGUAUUUAGACAAAUCUAAGACAAGAAUUUUGGGACAAAGGGAGUAUAUU